rnacentral:rRNA from 1 species
GGUCCGUAGGCUGAUCUGUAAGUCAGUGGUGAAAUCUCACAGCUUAACUGUGAAACUGCCAUUGAUACUGCAGGUCUUGAGUGUAGUUGAAGUAGCUGGAAUAAGUAGUGUAGCGGUGAAAUGCAUAGAUAUUACUUAGAACACCAAUUGCGAAGGCAGGUUACUAAGUUACAACUGACGCUGAUGGACGAAAGCGUGGGGAGCGAACAGGAUUAGAUACCCUGGUAGUCCACGCUGUAAACGAUGCUAACUCGUUUUUGGUUUUUCGGAAUCAGAGACUAAGCGAAAGUGAUAAGUUAGCCACCUGGGGAGUACGAACGCAAGUUUGAAACUCAAAGGAAUUGACGGGGGCCCGCACAAGCGGUGGAUUAUGUGGUUUAAUUCGAUGAUACGCGAGGAACCUUACCAAGGCUUAAAUGGGAAAUGACAGGUUUAGAAAUAGACUUUUCUUCGGACAUUUUUCAAGGUGCUGCAUGGUUGUCGUCAGCUCGUGCCGUGAGAUGUUGGGUUAAGUCCCGCAACGAGCGCAACCCA